GAUGAACGCUGGCGGCGUGCUUAACACAUGCAAGUCGAACGGAAAGGCCGAAGCUUGCUUCGGUACUCGAGUGGCGAACGGGUGAGUAACACGUGGGUGAUCUGCCCUGUACUUCGGGAUAAGCUUGGGAAACUGGGUCUAAUGCCGGAUAUGACGAUCUCUUGGAUGGGGUUGUGGAAAGCUUUUGCGGUAUGGGAUGAGCUCGCGGCCUAUCAGCUUGUUGGUGGGGUAAUGUCCUACCAAGGCGUCGACGGGUAGCCGGCCUGAGAGGGUGUACGGCCACAUUGGGACUGAGAUACGGCCCAGACUCCUACGGGAGGCAGUAGGGGGGAAUAUUGCACAAUGGGCGCAAGCCUGAUGCAGCGACGCCGCGUGGGGGAUGACGGCCUUCGGGUUGUAAACUCCUUUCGCCAUCGACGAAGCCUUUUGGUGACGGUAGGUUGAGAAGAAGCACCGGCUAACUACGUG
rnacentral:rRNA from 1 species